UACGUAGGGUGCAAGCGUUGUCCGGAAUUAUUGGGCGUAAAGAGCUCGUAGGCGGUUUGUCGCGUCUGCUCUGAAAGCCCGGGGCUCAACCCCGGGAGGCGGGUGGAUACUGUCAAGCUCGAGUCCGGAAGAGGCGAGUGGAAUUCCUGGUGUAGCGGUGAAAUGCGCAGAUAUCAGGAGGAACACCAAUGGCGAAGGCAGCUCGCUGGGACGUGACUGACGCUGAGACGCGAAAGCGUGGGGAGCAAACAGG
rnacentral:rRNA from 1 species